rnacentral:rRNA from 1 species
GACCUGAGAGGGUGAUCGGCCACACUGGGACUGAGACACGGCCCAGACUCCUACGGGAGGCAGCAGUAGGGAAUCUUCCGCAAUGGACGAAAGUCUGACGGAGCAACGCCGCGUGUAUGAAGAAGGUUUUCGGAUCGUAAAGUACUGUUGUUAGAGAAGAACAAGGAUAAGAGUAACUGCUUGUCCCUUGACGGUAUCUAACCAGAAAGCCACGGCUAACUACGUGCCAGCAGCCGCGGUAAUACGUAGGUGGCAAGCGUUGUCCGGAUUUAUUGGGCGUAAAGCGCGCGCAGGCGGUCUUUUAAGUCUGAUGUGAAAGCCCCCGGCUUAACCGGGGAGGGUCAUUGGAAACUGGAAGACUGGAGUGCAGAAGAGGAGAGUGGAAUUCCACGUGUAGCGGUGAAAUGCGUAGAUAUGUGGAGGAACACCAGUGGCGAAGGCGACUCUCUGGUCUGUAACUGACGCUGAGGCGCGAAAGCGUGGGGA